CUAACAGGCGCACGCGGAGGAGCACAACCUGCUCGGCUGAGGUGACGAGGCGUGCACGCGAGCUUGUGUACGGAGACCGCGUGCGACAUCAAAUCACACCGUAAACACCAACAAGAUUACUCCGCCGGCCGUACAGUAGUUAGCUGGGGCGCUAACGAUCUACUAACUUAACGACUAGGAGAAACAGUGCCGGGAACAAAAGCGUCGUCGUCCCAGUCGAUGUUGUGGGGGGGGGAGACACACUCAAGAGCUUCUUUCGUGGUGUUGUUAUUAGGUGUUAAAGACGGCAAGAAAAGAAGAAGAAAAAUAGGGAAGAAGCGCGGAUUUGGAUGUUGUUGUUUUGAUGGUCCAUAUCCGUGACGUCACAUCCACCUGCUGUGUAAACGGGGCUCAAUGCAUAGCACACAAUUCAAGUAAUAUUCAGUCUGAGAAGCACAUCCCAUUUGAUGAUGAAAGACAUGUUUAUUCAUGGCUGCACCUGAGGGCUGCUGCUGCAGAAUCAUUCCAGUUUCUUGGUAGACAGCGCCACCCUCUGAUAAACCACAGACAAAGCAUCCUAUUCAUGUCUCUGCGAAAUGAGUUCCAUGAAACGAGAGCAGCAAAACAAAAAUCCUUUUUCCCCAGUUCUGUGAAAACACUACUUGGGACAGUCAGAGUAAAAAAGCCAGAGGAUGGUAGCCUGUAAUGUCCAUGAUUCCUAACAAGGUAAGUUCCGAGAUAGGACGGGACCGUCCCAAGUAGAGCUUUCUAAAUAAAAGUCAGCCAAUGAGUGGAUCUCCUGUCAGACAGGGAUGAGCACUCAGUGUUUUUAUACAAAGUGCAAUGAUGAGUCAAACCUGGACAUCCAGUGACAAACCUCAGAACACAAUGAUACACGAAGUCCAGAGAGUGUGGGUGUAUGUGUAGCAUGUGUGACAGGAUACAGCACAUCACCAUAGUCAAGCAAUGGAAGAAAGGUGGCUGACACAAGGCGUUUCCUGCCUCCAAAAGAAAAGCAAGAUCUCCAGUAUUCCUAAAGUAAAAGCCCAAUUUUACCUCAAAUUGAGAAACUAAGCUUGAAAUAUGGUACUUAAAAGUUAGAGGUCCAUCAACAUGGGAACUCAGGUACUCACAGGGCGAGACCAGGUCAAUGUCUGUACCCUUUUGGACUGCACAGUAGCCCUGGAAAACAGUAUAAGCUUCGGCUUCUCUGUGCUGAAAACCAGCUUCCAGCUUUGCAGAUGGGCCUGAACAACAUCAAAGGCAAACUGUAAAUGAGUGAAUGCCUGCACCACAGACGAAGCAAAACAAUACAUUAUUGUGUUGUCUGCAUGAAAAUGGUAAAGAGCAUCUGACAAGUUAUUGCAAAGAUCAUUUAUAUAGAUUGAAAACUAAAUGGGGCCUAACACCGACCCUUGUGGUACCCCCGUCAAAACACUCAAAAAUGUUGAGGACCCUGCCAUCUGGACACACUGCGAUCUACCCGAACCAAGAAUCUGCAUGUUCAGAUAAGCCCACUUUGUGCAAUGUAUCAAUUAGGACAUUAUGAUUGACGGUGACAGAUGCCUUUGAUAAGUCGGUAAAUAAUGCGACGCACUUUCUUUCAAGCCAGUGCUUCAGUGAUGUUGUUUAGAACUGUAAGGGCUGCAGUACAGUACUGUUUUUUUUUCCUAAAGCCAGAUUGGUCCGUUUAAUUAAGUUCCUGUAUUUGGUCUUUUUUUCCAGAUCUGCACAUUUAAUGGCCAUGCACCGCCCCUUUGUCAAGUUUUGGUUUCACAUUUUGGCGUCAUUUUGACGAUUAUAUCAUCUCAUUGUGAAAAAAAGGUCAUUAGGCCAACAAAGCCAGGGGUGGCCUAAGAUUUUUGCACAGUACUGUAAAUUGGAGGCAUUAACUCUUUAGCAAGGGUGGGCUAAAAUUGAGUCUUUCUCCCACCCUCAUGCUGUAACACACUCGGUUUGGGUAUGCCCCAGGUUUAAUAUGAUUCAGUUUUCAUCAAACAUUUUUGCCAAAAUGUUUGUUUUUUGUACAGUCUUAGUUUUGUACAUAACAAAUAAGACUUGGACUGUAAACAACCACGGAAUGGAGUGUUCAAACAAAACACCCGAGGUUUUGCUGACUCAUUUUUUAUUGAGUGCGACUGCUAAAUAACAUGCCAUGGGGCCAAAGUUUUCAGCUGUUUCAGCUGCUGUCCUAUCAGUCAGAAGUGUGUGGUGGACAAAUUAUCUGUGGACAAUUAUGGCGUAAAGUCUCUUACUGUGAGUGAUGAACAAAAACAAAGACUUUCUGUGUAAAAAUGUCUGCUCAGCAGCAGACGUGGGCACCCCCGUGUUGUCAGAAUGGUACAAUCUUGAUCACAAGACAUUUUCGUAUAAUUCGACUGCAAGAUUGAUAGUCGAAUCAGACUCCGAUGAAUCGAAUCGUCGACUAUUCUAAGACACCCCUGCGUUAUAUUAAACAUCAAAUGCUGAGUCUGUACUAAAGCAAAUGUAAGCAUGCUUAUACUGUAUACUGGACCCAUUUAUGUCUCGUGGAGCACGUAAAUUGGAUCAAACAACAGUCAUGAAUGAAAUAACAAUCAUAGAAGAAAUGGAACAUUGAAUGUUGGCCAGAUAUUUCAACAAUUAUUAAUGAAUUCCUUUCAGAAGACACCAAAUCUUUACAAACUGUACACUGAAUACUCCAAGUUUCAUUUAUAUAAUAUAUCCCCUGAGAAUAUGUAUGGGGUGUGCUGUCUUUCAUUCUUCACUGGCUUGAUCUCCAUGCCAAUACAGGAUCUCUCAGCUCAGCGGCGCCAACAAGCAUGUUGGUCUCAAUUCAUUAGCAUGCGUUAGUGCCACCAUGCUGCUGUGUUGUGUGGAUUGAGGGCACCACUUGAUUGGGUGGAGUCGCAAAUUAAUUGAGGAUCACGAUCAGUGAUGUGAUAGCCUCUCCAGGCACCAGCACGCAGACAACAAGUAAUUAGCUCUCGGUUAAUUAGGUAAUUAAACAAAUGAAUAGAAGCCGGUCUUCAUUUCAAAAGGCGUCGAAUGGCUUGCACACAGCGCUUUUUCCCCCCACUGCGGCAGUAAUCAUUCAACAAGUAAUGAAAGCAAAACAGCUUCAGGAGAAAAUAACUAAAAGCCAAAAUAGCAAGGAAAAAAAUAAUGCUGUUUUGUGGGGGACUUUGCAGUUGUACACGGUUGACUGAAUUAUUGGUUAUGCUGCCACAAAAGCACAGUUCGCAAAGGUCAUAGGUCGGAAAUCGAGGCAUGCUAUGACAAAAUUCCACACCACCACCAUGGAACCGCCAAAGGUUUCUGGAAAAAUGUGCCUCAAAAGUCAAACAAAACUUGUUAGGCGCCACAUGAGACAUCACAGUCAGUUGCAAAGGACAAAUGUUGCUGUUUUUUUGUAUUUGUACUUUAUUUAAUCCACAGCAGGGAAAUUCACUAGGUAAUUCACUAUUCCACUUUUUACUAGGAUUGUAGUAUACUUGACCUGUAUUUUCAUUCAUUUAGCCAUUUUUAUGCUGGAAAAUGCUUAAUUUAGGCCAGUGCUUCUCAAAUAGUGGGGUGCCGGUAAACUGUCAAGGGGGACGUGAGAGGCAGAGGGGACUUUUAUUAUUAAUGCAGACCUGCCAACAUGUACCAAUUUGUGGUACUCAGCAUGCAAUUUGACUCUUGAAUAUGCUUGUAUGCGUCACUGCUCUCCAUUUUGCUGCAUUUUGCUGCCUUCAGCUUUGAGUUCAGUCUGGACAGCACAGGUAAAGAAAUAAAUAUCAUUAGUUUCUCAAUGGGGAGGCGCAAAAACAUUUCUGUCCCCCAGUGGGGGCAUGACAGAAAAUAAUUGAGAACCACUGAUUUAGGCCAAGAGUACAUCAAAUGUGCUUCAAUAUGGAUAUUUCUUGAUUAAUAACAGGCUGUAGUCAACCACAAAACGGCGAUCAUUUGCUCAUUUUAAAAACCUGUAAUGGAGGCCGCAAAAUUCAAAGCGCAAAGUGGCGAGGGACAACUGUAAAUAUAACCGUGUCCUGUUUUUUUACCUUUCUGUAAAGUACAGUAAAAAUGGGCAUACUUCAGACAUAGUCACUAAUGGUGUUUAAUCAUGAUGAAUUUGAAAACUGAUUAAUCUGAUUAAACAUCUUCAAUCGUUUGACAGCUCUAUUAAAUAGCGGUGUGGAAACAGUGUUUUCCCCCUUCAUGAUUUCUUAUUUUGUUGCAUGUUUGCCACACGCCAAUGUUUCAGAUCAUCAAACAAAUGUAAACAUUAGUCAAUGAAAACACAACUGACCACGAAAUGCAGUUGUUGUUUUUUUUUUAAACAUUUUAUUAUUAAGGGAGAAAAAAAUCCAAACCUACAGUACAUGGCCCUGUGUGAAAAAGUGCUUGCCCUCCCUGUUAAAAUAUAACUUAACUGAGAUGAACUGAGAUCUAUUAGUGUGGAAAAGGUUAUAAAGCCAUUUCUAAAGCUUUGGGACUCCAGCCAACCACAGUGAGAGCCAUUAUCCACAAAUGGCCAAAACAUGGAACAGUGGUGAACUUUCUCAGGAGUGGCCGGCCAACCAAAAUGACCCCAAGAGCGCAGCGACGACUCAUUCAAGAAGUCACAAAAGACCCCACAACAACAUCCAAAGAACUGCAGGUCUCACUUGCCUCAGUUCAAGUCAGUGUUCAUGACUCCACCAUAAGAAAGUCACUGGGCAAAACAGCCUGCAUGGCAGAGUUCCAAGACCAAAACCACUGCUGAACAAAAACAACAUUAAGGCUCGUCUCAAUUUUGCCAGAAAAUAUCUUGAUGAUCCCCAAGACCUUUGGGAAAAUACUCAAAAUUUGAACUGUUUGGAAGGAGUGUGUCCCAUUACAUCUGGCGUAAAAGUAACGCCACAUUUCAGAAAAAGAACAUCAUCCCAGCAGUAAUAUAUGGUGGUGGUAGUGUGCUGGUUUGAAUUUAUUUCUCCCUUAAUAAAACAAACAUUUCGUGUCCAGUUGUGUUGUUUGUUCGAUGAUCUGAAACAUUUAAGUGUGACAAACAUGCAAAAAAAAAUAAGAAUUCAGGAAGGGGGAAAACACUUCUUCACACCACCGUAUGUAAGAAUUUUCUCUUUAAAGUUUACUUGCUGAACACACACACCACCUUCAAGCAUUACACAGAAAUACUGUGAAAGUGUGUUCAGUUUGCUUGCAAUGAUGAAAAAUUCCCUUUGAUUUGCAGCAAAGAGUAUUUUCAGAAAAGACCGAAUAGUUUCACUUUUGCCAAAAUGUGAUGUUGACUGCAACUGACGUUCAUUAAGAACAUGACACAUUUAUGUUUUUGUAAGAGUUCUGUGGUCAUACGGAUGCAGGCCAAAGUCAAAGGAGAAUUUAUUGGUGGUGGAAACAAGUACAGACAGGUAUAGAGCAAUGCCAGAAAAUGUGCCGUUUCUCUGUGACUCCAUUUGGGCAAGUGGAGGUCAGUCUACUUUCAACGCUUGCAAGAAAUGCGUUGUGAUUGGACAUUCAAAAAAAGAUACCCUUCACGAUGUGUCAUCCUCAUUUCCUGCUGCUUAUGGCUUUAAACUGAGGGCCAGUGUGAUUGGACUGAUCUCAUUAUCAAGUGUUACCCUGUUCAUUUGACAUACAGCUCAUGACAAACAUUCACUCCACAAACACUUAGCAUUUAAGAUACAAACCUUCUUUGGCACCUAACCAGCUGUAAUUUAUUGAAAAAACAAAGCAGAUAAGAGUUUAUCGAAUCUAACAUCUCAUGCUGAUGAACCCAGAAGAUAAUACAGCAGCUACCUUCAGGAGACAAAACAACUGUGAAAGUCAUGGUCCACACGGGAAACAGUGCCAUGACAUCACAGCCAAUUAAAAACUACAGUAAACUAAUCAAGGCUGAAGACUGGGACGUACAUUCACUGAAGGGUCGAAAUAAAACAAGGCAUCAGUCAUUCAAAAGUUAUAAAAAUAUACUGGUAACAUUUCCUUGGUGGAUGCAAAAUCACAUCCUGGAUUCUGUUGUAGACGGCGCCUUUAAGUCAAGGCAGGUACAGAGUUCAGAUAAAAAUAACAAAAAUAAAUCAAAUAAAAAGUGAAAAAGUGCAUCAUCUAAUGUCUUGAGCGUCCCCCUUCAAAGGCAUGAUGUUCCAUGUGAGCUGAAAAAGGAAAAAAAAGGAUUCAAGGUGAAUAAAAACGUCUUUUCUGAGAGAUUUUAUCAUUUUACAUUUUAUCUGUAGUUGUAAAUUACGUUUAUCGCGGUUAACUGUGAUAAGUGAAUGUCCGAAGAAGUAGGAUUCCUUACUUAAGAAUGGAAUAAUUUUGCAGUUAGAGCAUAGAAAACCAGUAUAAGACUUUCUAAAUACAUUUUUUAACAUUAGCGCCCCCGAGACAUGAAAUAACACCGCUAUAGUCACAGUUACACUCCUAUUACCCAAUAGUAGACAUAGGAGUAAAUAAGCCAUUUAAGACAUAAAUAAGACUUGUGUUACUAUAUGCUACUAUAAAUGUGUUUCCUCUGGGAUUAUGAGGGAUUAUUGUUCCUGUCGUGAGAUCGUUUAAACCUGCAACAAAAGCCCGUUGUUCCAUCGAUCAGGUCUGAUCCUUGUGUGUCUCACCAAUUACACCAUAAAUCUGAAGCUUGUUGUUGUGAUUAAUCGACCACAUCAUCGUCAUCCCCCGUCACUUCGGCUUUCCAAGGCUUCACACCAUCACAGUUUUUCUAAAUUAAUGAAUAAAUCCUGCUGGUGGUUGAAUACAGCCUAUUAUUAGUCAAAAAACAUGCAUAGUCAAGCAUAUUUUAGGUAUUGUUUGCCUAAAUGACAAAAUGGCUAAAUUAACUAAAAUGCAUACAAUGUAUAAAAGGCAUUUGAAGAUGCUCUGAAUAUGGAGUAUUCUCCACUGGUCACUAGGUGUCAGUAAUGUUACUGUAAUGCUCGGUGAGACUUGAUUGCUGGAACAACAGGCUUUUAAUGCAGGUUUGAAUGAUCUCACAACAGGCACGAUAAUCCCUAAUAAAAACACCCACCACUGUUGCUGUAGUAACCCACACCAAGCUAAAACUCAACUCUGAACCCCAAACAUCACUUCCUCUCCGCCCGCCACUCAGCUCCCCUUGGGAACUCAUUUAUAGCAACACACACGAGUCUUAUUUCCGUCUGAAAUGGCUUAUUUACUCUUAUUAUGUCUACUACAGUAUAUUGGGUAUUACAAGUGUAAAUGUGGCAAUAGGGGUGCUAGUUCAUGU